rnacentral:rRNA from 2 species
UGGUAUUGAUUGGUGCUUGCAUCAUGAUUUACAUUUGAGUGAGUGGCGAACUGGUGAGUAACACGUGGGAAACCUGCCCAGAAGCGGGGGAUAACACCUGGAAACAGAUGCUAAUACCGCAUAACAACUUGGACCGCAUGGUCCGAGCUUGAAAGAUGGCUUCGGCUAUCACUUUUGGAUGGUCCCGCGGCGUAUUAGCUAGAUGGUGGGGUAACGGCUCACCAUGGCAAUGAUACGUAGCCGACCUGAGAGGGUAAUCGGCCACAUUGGGACUGAGACACGGCCCAAACUCCUACGGGAGGCAGCAGUAGGGAAUCUUCCACAAUGGACGAAAGUCUGAUGGAGCAACGCCGCGUGAGUGAAGAAGGGUUUCGGCUCGUAAAACUCUGUUGUUAAAGAAGAACAUAUCUGAGAGUAACUGUUCAGGUAUUGACGGUAUUUAACCAGAAAGCCACGGCUAACUACGUGCCAGCAGCCGCGGUAAUACGUAGGUGGCAAGCGUUGUCCGGAUUUAUUGGGCGUAAAGCGAGCGCAGGCGGUUUUUUAAGUCUGAUGUGAAAGCCUUCGGCUCAACCGAAGAAGUGCAUCGGAAACUGGGAAACUUGAGUGCAGAAGAGGACAGUGGAACUCCAUGUGUAGCGGUGAAAUGCGUAGAUAUAUGGAAGAACACCAGUGGCGAAGGCGGCUGUCUGGUCUGUAACUGACGCUGAGGCUCGAAAGUAUGGGUAGCAAACAGGAUUAGAUACCCUGGUAGUCCAUACCGUAAACGAUGAAUGCUAAGUGUUGGAGGGUUUCCGCCCUUCAGUGCUGCAGCUAACGCAUUAAGCAUUCCGCCUGGGGAGUACGGCCGCAAGGCUGAAACUCAAAGGAAUUGACGGGGGCCCGCACAAGCGGUGGAGCAUGUGGUUUAAUUCGAAGCUACGCGAAGAACCUUACCAGGUCUUGACAUACUAUGCAAAUCUAAGAGAUUAGACGUUCCCUUCGGGGACAUGGAUACAGGUGGUGCAUGGUUGUCGUCAGCUCGUGUCGUGAGAUGUUGGGUUAAGUCCCGCAACGAGCGCAACCCUUAUUAUCAGUUGCCAGCAUUAAGUUGGGCACUCUGGUGAGACUGCCGGUGACAAACCGGAGGAAGGUGGGGAUGACGUCAAAUCAUCAUGCCCCUUAUGACCUGGGCUACACACGUGCUACAAUGGAUGGUACAACGAGUUGCGAACUCGCGAGAGUAAGCUAAUCUCUUAAAGCCAUUCUCAGUUCGGAUUGUAGGCUGCAACUCGCCUACAUGAAGUCGGAAUCGCUAGUAAUCGCGGAUCAGCAUGCCGCGGUGAAUACGUUCCCGGGCCUUGUACACACCGCCCGUCACACCAUGAGAGUUUGUAACACCCAAAGUCGGUGGGGUAA